GAGAAGAACGUAGCGAAAUGCGAUAAGUAAUGUGAAUUGCAGAAUUCAGUGAAUCAUCGAAUCUUUGAACGCACCUUGCGCUCCUUGGUAUUCCGAGGAGCAUGCCUGUUUGAGUGUCAUUAAAUUCUCAACCAUUAUCAACUUUUGCUGAUAAUGGCUUGGAUGUGGGGGUCUAUUUUGCUGGCUUCUCAGAUAGUCAGCUCCCCUUAAAUGCAUUAGCCGGUGCCCCGCGUGGACUGUCUAUUGGUGUGAUAAUUAUCUACGCUAUGGACAUCUGCAAUCAUAUGGGUUUGCGCUGCUUCUAACAGUCUGUUGAUUCAGACAAUACAUGACAAUUUGACCUCAAAUCAGGUAGGACUACCCGCUGAACUUAAGCAUAUCAAUAAGCGGAGGA
rnacentral:misc_RNA from 1 species